GCAGUGUACCCGCGGCAAGACGGAAAGACCCCGUGAACCUUUACUAUAGCUUGACACUGAACAUUGAGCCUUGAUGUGUAGGAUAGGUGGGAGGCUUAGAAGUGUGGACGCCAGUCUGCAUGGAGCCGACCUUGAAAUACCACCCUUUAAUGUUUGAUGUUCUAACGUUGACCCGUAAUCCGGGUUGCGGACAGUGUCUGGUGGGUAGUUUGACUGGGGCGGUCUCCUCCUAAAGAGUAACGGAGGAGCACGAAGGUUGGCUAAUCCUGGUCGGACAUCAGGAGGUUAGUGCAAUGGCAUAAGCCAGCUUGACUGCGAGCGUGACGGCGCGAGCAGGUGCGAAAGCAGGUCAUAGUGAUCCGGUGGUUCUGAAUGGAAGGGCCAUCGCUCAACGGAUAAAAGGUACUCCGGGGAUAACAGGCUGAUACCGCCCAAGAGUUCAUAUCGACGGCGGUGUUUGGCACCUCGAUGUCGGCUCAUCACAUCCUGGGGCUGAAGUAGGUCCCAAGGGUAUGGCUGUUCGCCAUUUAAAGUGGUACGCGAGCUGGGUUUAGAACGUCGUGAGACAGUUCGGUCCCUAUCUGCCGUGGGCGCUGGAGAACUGAGGGGGGCUGCUCCUAGUACGAGAGGACCGGAGUGGACGCAUCACUGGUGUUCGGGUUGUCAUGCCAAUGGCACUGCCCGGUAGCUAAAUGCGGAAGAGAUAAGUGCUGAAAGCAUCUAAGCACGAAACUUGCC
rnacentral:rRNA from 1 species